rnacentral:rRNA from 1 species
GCUUUUUGUAUAUUAAGUUAAAAAGUUGUACCUGCCCGGUGAUUCGUUUAAACGGCCGCAGUGAUCCUGUGCUAAGGUAGCGUAAUAAUUCGCCCCUUAAUUAGGGGAUAGUAUGAAUGGUUUGACGUGGAUAUGCUGUCUCUUUAAUAAAUAAUUAAUUUUUUAUCUAAGUGAAAAAGCUUAGUAUUUUGUAAAAGACGAGAAGACCCUAUCGAACUUAAUUAAAUAAUAAAAUAAAUUAAAUUGUUUUGUUGUUGAAUUUUUACUGGGGUAGUAAGAGCCAAAAAUUAACGGCUUUUUUAUAUAAAUAUCCUGUACGAUGGAAUAAAGCAAAAGUUACCGUAGGGAUAACAGCGUAAUAUUUUCCUGAAAGAUCUUAUUAAGGGAAUUGUGUGCGACCUCGAUGUUGAAUUAAGGAAACUUUAUGGUUGCAAAAGCUAUAUGUAGUGAGACUGUUCGUCUUUUAAUUCCUU